rnacentral:rRNA from 1 species
UUCGUAGGGUGCAAGCGUUAAUCGGAAUUACUGGGCGUAAAGCGUGCGCAGGCGGCUUUGCAAGACAGAUGUGAAAUCCCCGGGCUUAACCUGGGAACUGCAUUUGUGACUGCAUGGCUGGAGUGCGGCAGAGGGGGAUGGAAUUCCGCGUGUAGCAGUGAAAUGCGUAGAUAUGCGGAGGAACACCGAUGGCGAAGGCAAUCCCCUGGGCCUGCACUGACGCUCAUGCACGAAAGCGUGGGGAGCAAACAGG